rnacentral:pre_miRNA from 1 species
UUGAAGAAUUUGAAGACUUCAACUUGCAGACUUGAAGAAUUUGAAGACUUCAACUAGAGGAUUUAAAGACUUCAACU